rnacentral:tRNA from 1 species
AGCGGGGUAGGGUAGGCAUCCCCACUCCCAUAGUUGAUAGAGUAGGCUGGCCAAAUCAGGAGAUCCCGCAGGGCUCAUAACCCUGAGAUCGAUGGUUCAAAUCCAUCCCCCGCUACCA